UACAGAGGAUGCAAGCGUUAUCCGGAAUCAUUGGGCGUAAAGCGCGCGUAGGUGGCCCCAUAAGUCCGCUGUGAAAGUCAAAGGCUCAACCUUUGAAAGCCGGUGGAUACUGUGGGACUAGAGUACGGAAGAGGCGAGUGGAAUUCCUGGUGUAGCGGUGGAAUGCGCAGAUAUCAGGAGGAACACCAAUAGCGAAGGCAGCUCGCUGGGACGUUACUGACACUGAGGCGCGAAAGCGUGGGGAGCGAACAGG
rnacentral:rRNA from 1 species